CCCGUUGAGCUAACCCGCAAGGGAGGCAGGCGACCACAGUGGGUUUAGCGACUGGGGUGAAGUCGUAACAAGGUAGCCGUAGGGGAACCUGCGGCUGGAUCACCUCCUUUCUAAGGAU
rnacentral:rRNA from 1 species